GGGAGCUUCACCGAGCUCACGAGCUGGGAGAAAUCGGCCGUUCCCCAAAUCAGUCCAAUCCCUAGCUCCUCUAACGCAAGCCGCCGCCGGUCGCCUCUUUCACGCCGCCGCCGGUCGCUGCCCCCUUUCUCCUCUGCCGCUCAACCUCCACGGCUCCACGGCCUCGGGAACGGCUGCACGGCCGGCUCCUCCUUCACGCAAAGCUUGCUCUAGAGCAUGUGCGUGAGCAGGACAUGAUUUCUCUGGUGACGAUGAAGAGUUUGAUAAAGCCCUUUACAAUUUCUAUUUGAAUAAUAAAGUCAAGUACCUAAAAAGGAAAUUAUCAUCUGGUUGUAGAAGGAAUGUUAGGCAGAAACGAUCUUCUGAUUCCCUGUUUGUUCAACAUUCACUAGAUAUUCUCGAAAGUUCUUCUCAAGAGUUGUUGAUGGCAUGUGUCCUAGAUGAGAAAAUCCCUCCUGAUUUGUUCAUGUGAAUGGUUGAGAGAGAAGAUGGUGAGCAGUUGGGACUGUUGCUGACCUAUGGAUCGUGAUGCUGAUUUCCCACUGAUGUUCUUCUUUGUUGCUCCUCAUCAGGUUCAAAAUCUUCUCCUCCUCCAUCGCACAUGGCCGUCUCCAUGUUCUCCCUUAUUCUUUUCUCCUCCCUUCUGAUUUGCUCUUUGUGCUGUUUGGUGAGAUCUGUGAACUGGUUUGUGAGAGGGGUUUGGCCCUUUUUGUGUGUUGCAAGCUGGGCCCAAGCUGUGGUCCUGGAGAUCAAGAGGGGUUGUUCCCAGAUUUUUCUGGAGUGGUUUGUUGUCCAGGGUUACCGGGUCAGAUGUUUUGCCCGACCCGUUUUGGCGUCCUUUUUGUGCCGUCGGGUGAUUUUGUGGUCGUAUAGGUGUCAACUGUUCAUUUGUCAAGUUUUUUUUAAUGUUGUCGAAUUGAAAAAC